rnacentral:rRNA from 1 species
AUUGAACGCUGGCGGCAUGCCUUACACAUGCAAGUCGAACGGUAACAGGUCUUCGGAUGCUGACGAGUGGCGAACGGGUGAGUAAUACAUCGGAACGUGCCCGAUCGUGGGGGAUAACGGAGCGAAAGCUUUGCUAAUACCGCAUACGAUCUACGGAUGAAAGCAGGGGACCGCAAGGCCUUGCGCGAACGGAGCGGCCGAUGGCAGAUUAGGUAGUUGGGGGGAUAAAAGCUUACCAAGCCGACGAUCUGUAGCUGGUCUGAGAGGACGACCAGCCACACUGGGACUGAGACACGGCCCAGACUCCUACGGGAGGCAGCAGUGGGGAAUUUUGGACAAUGGGCGCAAGCCUGAUCCAGCAAUGCCGCGUGCAGGAUGAAGGCCUUCGGGUUGUAAACUGCUUUUGUACGGAACGAAAAGGCUCUGGUUAAUACCUGGGGCUCAUGACGGUACCGUAAGAAUAAGCACCGGCUAACUACGUGCCAGCAGCCGCGGUAACAC